GCUAUAGUCACAGCGCGUCGAUUUUAGUCUGAAUUUUGCAAUUUAGUUUUAAUUUAAUUUAGUAAAUAAAGCUUGCAAAUUGUUCAAUGAAUGACAAAAUACCUCUUCUUCUUCAGUUAGUGGAGUGUUUCAAAAACAAAAGGCUCUCACUGCAUUUGAGAGGGACCGCUUUUGUUUAAAGAGUCUGCUCAUUGUAGUGGUUAUAGUGUUUGGAGUUAAUGGCGC